UAAUUCUUUUUGUAUUGAACACGCAUAUGAUACAUUUGAUAGAUAAAGCAGCAAGAUCAUUGUAAAGAGCGAACUAUAAAUGUUUUUCAUCCUAUAUAAUAAAGCAAUCUCAACUUGAUAUUUUUUCCACAAAAAAGAUGAUUCAGCACCGAGGAACGGAUCGCCUCCGCCUCCGCCUCCGAUCGGCCGGCUUAGGACUCCGCUGGCUCCUCGCUCUCCCGACCGCCUCCUCCAGCCGCGGCCUCGACGCUGGCGCCCCCGAGUUUGUCCCCGGGGCCGCCGCCGGCGCAGCACCCGCGGAUGGUGAAGAUCCACCACGGGCCCCGCGCCGCUCCCGGUGAUCCACGUCUUCCACCUGCGGUUCAUCUCACCGGUGCUGAACCGUGGACCCUUCGAGUACGUCGGGGGCGGUGGCGGCGGCGCCGGUGCCGGUGCCGGUGCCGGUGCAGGGUCUGGGGAGCAUCACGCGGUUCAGGAGGCGGCUGAUGUCGAUCCUGCUUCGCCGGUGUUGGAGGGGCUCCCUGAAGAGGUUGUCCAGCAAAGCAGACUUGAGACACCCUAAAUGGAUGGUUUUUGACACUACUGUUGAAGGCGUCAUGCUUGUAUAUGAGGGCGGAAGGUCGUUCAGGUUUCUAAUUGCUCUUUUCACUCUACUUGACUAGGUUUUUCAGUUCAUUACUUCUGUUGGUGACCUAUUUGUCAUCCUUCCUUACCAAGUAAUUCUAACAACUAAUUUAUUGUAUCCUUGCUCUGCUGCACGAUUAAUUAGCAAAAAGUUAGUUGAACAAGUGAAUGUCAGAAUUUUUUGGACUAAGAGACAUUAUUAAAUUGAAUUUUUGAUUUAGAAAAUCUAUUUAUAGUUAUUGAACCUGUGCAGUUUAUUGGUUUGCUGCUUCUGUUACCUGUGUUGUCAAAACUAUGUAACAUAUUCUUUUUUUGGCAGUUUAAGUUUCCAAAGAGUGGACAUCUAGCCAUUUAUAUUCCAAAAAAAGGAAAAACUUUGUGAUCUUUUAUAUUGUUUUUUGUAUAACUUUCUAGAGUCAAUAUUUACAAGAAUGGUGCAUCUUGAAGUAACAGGUGUGAAUAUUAUUUCAGUGAUGCAAAUUUGGCAACAACUAAGCAUUUAAUGAGGUUCGUUAGUAUAGAUCCCGAAGGUUUUGGUAAUAUAUUCUCCAUUCUUACUUAGUUUUUGAACAUUCCAAGUUAAUGGAUAUGCUAUUUUUAUUUUUGACAUUUUUGUAUGCUCUUUUUUGUUUAUAACUAUUGCUUAUAUCUACUACCCAGAUUUUGUUUCACUCUCUGACUUCUGCUUAGCUCAAGCUCUCUGGUUAGUAGAUGCUGAACCACUAGAUGUGUGGGAUGGCUCCCACAUGCUUGGCAGUUUCCAAGUAUGUAAGGCAAACUCUUGUUUGUUUAUAUCUAUUGUACUUAGAUUCUGUUUGACUAUCUGAUUUUUGCUUAGCUCAGUUGCCUUGGCUAGUGGAUGCUGGACCACUGGAUGUGUGGAAUGGCUCCCACAUGCUUGGCAGUUUCUAAGGCAAAGGAAGAGAUAAAUGGGAAGAGUCAGGGGUGCAUGUCGAUGUCUUGGUCGCAAGACAUUUACCAUGCCAGUCUAUCUAAUAAGUUUACUCUUUGGUAGCCUGAAUUUAUUGGGAUUGCAGGAGAAAAAGCCUUCAUGGACCCUCUGAUUUAUUCGCCCUUCUGCCUUUCCUCUAAUUCUAUCCCGCCUUGGUGUGAGAUAACACAUAGAUAUGGUGGCAGGGUGUCCUAGCUGGCCUCAAACAUGCAUAUUAUUAUGCCGCAGUGAAUAAUCAUGUCUUGCAUGAGAAACAUGUUCACUAAUGUUGGAUGUUAACUAAGAGUGUUUAAUGAAUUGGAAGUCUAUCUCGAUAAUCACAGAUUUGCAG